rnacentral:rRNA from 1 species
AAUCAACGCUGGCGGCGUGCCUAACACAUGCAAGUCGAACGCGAAAGCCCCGCAAGGGGUAAGUAGAGUGGCAAACGGGUGAGUAACACGUGGGUGACCUGCCUUCGAGUGGGGGAUAACGUCCCGAAAGGGACGCUAAUACCGCAUGACAUCCUGCUUUUGAACAAGCGGAGAUCAAAGCUGGGGAUCGCAAGACCUAGCGCUUGAAGAGGGGCCCGCGCCUGAUUAGCUAGUUGGUGAGGUAACGGCUCACCAAGGCGACGAUCAGUAUCCGGCCGGAGAGGGCGGACGGCCACACUGGGACGGAGACACGGCCCAGACUCCUACGGGAGGCAGCAGUGGGGAAUUGUUCGCAAUGGGCGCAAGCCUGACGACGCAACGCCGCGUGGAGGACGAAGAUCUUCGGGUCGUAAACUCCUGUCGAGCGGGACGAACGCUUCGCGGAUGAAUAAUCCGCGGAAUUGACGGUACCGCUAAAGGAAGCCCCGGCUAACUCCGUG